GACGAACGCUGGCGGCGUGCCUAAUACAUGCAAGUCGAACGCUUCUUUCCUCCCGAGUGCUUGCACUCAAUUGGAAAGAGGAGUGGCGGACGGGUGAGUAACACGUGGGUAACCUACCCAUCAGAGGGGGAUAACACUUGGAAACAGGUGCUAAUACCGCAUAACAGUUUAUGCCGCAUGGCAUAAGAGUGAAAGGCGCUUUCGGGUGUCGCUGAUGGAUGGACCCGCGGUGCAUUAGCUAGUUGGUGAGGUAACGGCUCACCAAGGCCACGAUGCAUAGCCGACCUGAGAGGGUGAUCGGCCACACUGGGACUGAGACACGGCCCAGACUCCUACGGGAGGCAGCAGUAGGGAAUCUUCGGCAAUGGACGAAAGUCUGACCGAGCAACGCCGCGUGAGUGAAGAAGGUUUUCGGAUCGUAAAACUCUGUUGUUAGAGAAGAACAAGGACGUUAGUAACUGAACGUCCCCUGACGGUAUCUAACCAGAAAGCCACGGCUAGCUACGUG
rnacentral:rRNA from 1 species